AUCUUGCGCAAUGGGCGAAAGCCUGACGCAGCCAUGCCGCGUGAAUGAUGAAGGUCUUAGGAUUGUAAAAUUCUUUCACCGGGGAAGAUAAUGACGGUACCCGGAGAAGAAGCCCCGGCUAACUUCGUGCCAGCAGCCGCGGUAAUACGAAGGGGGCUAGCGUUGCUCGGAAUUACUGGGCGUAAAGGGCGCGUAGGCGGAUAUCUAAGUUGGGGGUGAAAGCCCGGGGCUCAACCUCGGAAUAGCCUUCAAUACUGGGUAUCUUGAGUUCGGGAGAGGUGAGUGGAAUGCCGAGUGUAGAGGUGAAAUUCGUAGAUAUUCGGCGGAAUACCAGUGGCGAAGGCGACUCACUGGCCCGAUACUGACGCUGAGGCGCGAAAGCGUGGGGAGCAAACAGG
rnacentral:rRNA from 1 species